CAGUAGCCGCGGGAAUACGUAGGUGGCAAGCGUUGUCCGGAAUUAUUGGGCGUAAAGGGCUCGCAGGCGGUUUCUUAAGUCUGAUGUGAAAGCCCCCGGCUCAACCGGGGAGGGUCAUUGGAAACUGGGAAACUUGAGUGCAGAAGAGGAGAGUGGAAUUCCACGUGUAGCGGUGAAAUGCGUAGAGAUGCGGAGGAACACCAGUGGCGAAGGCGACUCUCUGGUCUGUAACUGACGCUGAGGAGCGAAAGCGUGGGGAGCGAACAGGAUUAGAUACCCGCGUAGUCCCUGUCUCUUAUAC
rnacentral:rRNA from 1 species